rnacentral:rRNA from 1 species
GACGUAGGGCGCGAGCGUUGUCCGGAUUUAUUGGGCGUAAAGAGCUCGUAGGCGGCUUGUCGCGUCGACUGUGAAAACCCGCGGCUCAACCUCGGGCCUGCAGUGGGUACGGGCAGACUAGAGUGCGGUAGGGGAGAUUGGAAUUCCUGGUGUAGCGGUGGAAUGCGCAGAUAUCAGGAGGAACACCGAUGGCGAAGGCAGAUCUCUGGGCCGUAACUGACGCUGAGGCGCGAAAGCUAGGGGAGCAAACAGG